AUACUAUUUCCUCUGUCCAACAAAGGAUGUCUCAAUUUUUACUAAAUUUGAAUGCAUCUAUUCACUAAGUCAUCUCUAGAUACAUUCAAAUUUUGACAAAGUUGAGAUAUCUUUUGUUGGACGGAGGGAGUAUGUG
rfam:Brachypodium distachyon strain Bd21 chromosome 4, whole genome shotgun sequence.